rnacentral:rRNA from 1 species
ACGAACGCUGGCGGCGUGCUUAACACAUGCAAGUCGCACGAUGAAGCGCCAGCUUGCUGGUGUGGAUUAGUGGCGAACGGGUGAGUAACACGUGAGUAACCUGCCCCCUACUCUGGGAUAAGCCUGGGAAACUGGGUCUAAUACUGGAUAUGACCAAUCACUGCAUGGUGUGUUGGUGGAAAGAUUUUUUGGUGGGGGAUGGACUCGCGGCCUAUCAGCUUGUUGGUGGGGUAAUGGCCUACCAAGGCGACGACGGGUAGCCGGCCUGAGAGGGCGACCGGCCACACUGGGACUGAGACACGGCCCAGACUCCUACGGGAGGCAGCAGUGGGGAAUAUUGCACAAUGGGCGAAAGCCUGAUGCAGCGACGCCGCGUGAGGGAUGACGGCCUUCGGGUUGUAAACCUCUUUCACCAGGGACGAAGCUAACGUGACGGUACCUGGAGAAGAAGCACCGGCUAACUACGUG